CGCAGCCGCGGUAAUUCCAGCUCCAAUAGCGUAUAUUAAAGUUGUUGCAGUUAAAAGCUCGUAGUUGAAUUUCGGGUUAGUACGCUGGCCGUGCCUUCGGUACGUACUGGUGUUACUGAUUCCUACCUUCUGAAGAACCGUCAUGUCAUUAAUUUGGUGUGGCGGGGAAUCAGGACUGUUACUUUGAAAAAUUGAGUGUUUAAAGCAGGCUCGCGCUUGAAUACAUUAGCAUGGAAUAAUGAAAUAGGACGUUUGAUCCUAUUUUGUUGGUUUCUAGGAUUGACGUAAUGAUUAAUAGGGAUAGUUGGGGGCAUUAGUAUUCAAUUGUCAGAGGUGAAAUUCUUGGAUUUAUUGAAGACUAACUACUGCGAAAGCAUUUGCCAAGGAUGUUUUCAUUAAU
rnacentral:rRNA from 1 species